rfam:Schistosoma curassoni strain Dakar, Senegal genome assembly, scaffold: SCTD_contig0003410
GCACUGCUAAAGAGUCCCACAAUAGAACGAAACGGCCGUCCAGUGC